GCGCCGUUGGCGGAGCAGGAGACUCCCCGGCCGCCCAGCGCUGUUUUACUUAUUGCUGCUUGCUGAAUUGCUCAAAUAAAUUGAAUUCGAUCUACCCUACCCACGAUGUGUCGGGAAUGAUUUCUACCAAAACUAAUUUAUAACAAAUUGGUGCCGUGACUCGGAUAGUGGUAGCUUGGCUGGAUCCCUCCCAGGGGAGGCGCGCCCCGCUGAUUUUGCGGUCCCUGUCUGGAGGUCCCCAAGCCAACGCACCCCUACCGACGAACCUAAAGUUCCAGCGAUAAGUAAAUAAACAACCGGUAACCCCUUAAUCUUUGUGCACGAAGCUCCGAACGAAGACUCAGGAGUGAACACAGCUGUCUGGACAGCCGAGAAAGGAUGGACUCACGCCAGCCGAGUUAAAGGACCAAUACCGGAGGAACGGUGGAGAGUGACCAGCCGACCCGGAGACUUGAGGCUGACCAUGC